UUUGUCCCACAUCGGCUAGAGGAGGGUUUUGAGGUUUUGGGGUUUUCUAUUUAAAGGACCCUAUUUCUUUGUUGUAGAACAAGUUUGGAUAUAUUCUCAAAUAGAUAUACUCAUCAGACUCGAAAUACUUAAAGAUUUCUUUCAAAAAUUUAUUUGAAGUCUUUAAAAACUUUCUGACUCAAGUAAAGAAUUUUAAGAUAAAAAGGGAAUUUUUCUCAUUGUUCUUGUUUUGCCGGGUUCUGUGGCUUGAGUUUUUGGGUUUGGAGGAGCAAAUCUACAAGUUUGAAUCUCAAUUAGAGGCUGCACUUGUAAAAGACACUCCUUCUCCUGUAUAUCACUAAGUUUAGCACAUAAAUAGAGAGGCAAGUUAGCACUUGGGGAUUAAGCUUAAGCUUUCCCUGACGUCUACCAUGGCUGGGGUUCAUAGAAACCCCUUGGAUCUUAUGUGGCAUCAGGAUUGAGAAAGUGAAAGUUUUCAUUUUUGUGCUAUUUUAGCAUCUCUAUGGUUGUGUAUAUCUGUGGUAUAUUAGUUGGAAAAUAUGUAUAUCUUACUCUAUGGACAAAUAAUCUUGUGAUCUGCACUAUCCUGUUUGUAUAUGGGCUUUGUUUUUUUUGUUUUUUUUUUUUUGUUAUUACAAUUCGCGUGGGCUUAGUAAUGUCAAGCCCAUAACUUUGUAUAUUGGAUUUGUUUUCUUCCUACCUCAGUCCAUAAGAAUUAAUAUAUAUUUUUUCUAUCUGAA